AACGCACCUUGCGCUCCUUGGUAUUCCGAGGAGCAUGCCUGUUUGAGUGUCAUUAAAUUCUCAACCUCACCAACUUUGUUGUGUGAAGGCUUGGAUGUGGGGGUUUGCAGGUCCGCACUCGUGUGGUCUGCUCCUCUAAAACGUAUUAGUGGGUUAGUCCCCUAAUCUAUUGGUGUGAUAAUUAUCUACGCCGUGGAUUUGGAAGGCUAUCAUAGACCUGCUUCUAACCGUCCUCUGGACAACUUUGACAAUUUUGACCUCAAAUCAGGUAAGACUACCCGCUGAACUUAA
rnacentral:misc_RNA from 1 species